rnacentral:rRNA from 1 species
CGCGUAGGCGGCCUGGGAAGUGCUUCGUGAAAGCCCUCGGCUUAACCGAGGAAGGGCGGGGCAAACUGGCAGGCUCGAGUGUCGGAGGGGGAGGCGGAAUUCCUGGUGGAGCGGUGAAAUGCGUAGAGAUCAGGAAGAACGUCGGUGGCGAAGGCGGCCUUCUGGACGAACACUGACGCUGAGGCGCGAGAGCGUGGGGAGCGAACG